UACGAAGGGGGCUAGCGUUGCUCGGAAUCACUGGGCGUAAAGCGCACGUAGGCGGAUUGCUAAGUCAGGGGUGAAAUCCUGGAGCUCAACUCCAGAACUGCCUUCGAUACUGGCAAUCUCGAGUCCGGGAGAGGUGAGUGGAACUGCGAGUGUAGAGGUGAAAUUCGUAGAUAUUCGCAAGAACACCAGUGGCGAAGGCGGCUCACUGGCCCGGUACUGACGCUGAGGUGCGAAAGCGUGGGGAGCAAACAGG
rnacentral:rRNA from 1 species